GCUGACCUUUAAUGGUCAGAUGCUGCUUAGCACUGUCAGAACAGCUUUUUUCUCCCAGCACUUUCCAAUAGUGGGAAAGUAGGAAAUCCCCAUUUGACUGCUGGGGACAGAGCCAUAGAGUGGGGAGCAACUUGCCCAAAGUCCCACAGGUCAAUAGGAAAACCAACAAUGGAACCCAGGAGUCCUGACUCCCAAUCCCCUGGUCCAGUCACUACAGCAGACCACAUUCCCCCUCAAAGGCAGGGGGACCGGACAUGAGGGCCUGGUUGUAAUUGCCAGCUGUGGAAGGGAGUGUGCAGCAGUGGUUAGUGAAGGGACCUGGAAAUAAGGACUGCUGGGUCCCAUCCAUGGCUCUGACACUUGGUGUGACCCUGAGCCAGUAGCUUCCCCUCCCCAGGCCUGUUUCUCAUCAGUAGGGUUGGGGUCGCAGUCUCUACAGCCCAAGGGAGUUGGGAGGCUCCAGGAAGGUGUGUAAAGUGCCGGGAUGUCAGGAGCUGGGAGGCACUGUCACCCCCACACUAGGGCAGUGUUCUGCACCCCCUGCUGCUGGCUGAGUUUCUCUGUCCCUUGGCAAUAAGACAGACUCUUCUUUUCACAGCCAGUCGAUCGCCCAGUGUCAUCACCCUGCCUGCUGGGUAGGGAAACUCCUCAGGUCACCACCCUCUCCAGCCUGCCUUGGGCUUGGAGAGCGAGGAGGAGGGCGAGCGACAGCAGGCGACCCUGAACAUCCGCCAUCCAUCGCUCCAUCACCUAGAACAAGUGGCCCCAGAGCCUGAGGGAAGCAGCUGCCAUCUUCCCCAGGAGUAGAGCAGCCCCCCCUCCCCGCUGGCGGGGAAGGAGCUCCCGGCUGGGCGAGGAGGUGGAAGUGCCCAGCUUUCUGGCAGAGGAAACCUGCUCCCGGUGCAGGCGCCAAGGUGGGAGAGCCACCGGCCAGGCCGAAAUGGAGCUGGCCCAGGGUGUGGCUGGGCAGGCAGGACCCAGCCCAGGAGGGGAGCCAGGCAGGGUGGCUCUGGGGCUUGUUGUGUGGGAAGCACCGGCCCCAGGAGCCCAGCCCUGAUUCCCAGCAGGAGGCUUCGCCCUGCCCGCUCACUGAGGACCUUCCAGCCUCCCCAGGGCAGGAGGUGGAGGAUCCCUGUCCCAUCACCAGCAGCUCGGCCUGCUCCCCGUGGGACAGCAGCAGCGCCUAUGACUCGGGCAGCAGCGAGGCCGAUGGGCGCCACUCUUUGUUCCAGGGACCCCCAGGGACUCGGAAGAUAAGGAGGAGGAAUGUGUGGAUGUGGCCACAGA